GGCACGCAAAUUACCCACUCCCAGCCCGGGGAGGUAGUGACGAAAAAUAACGAUGCGAGACUCUUCCGAGGCCUCGCAAUCGGAAUGAGUUCAUUUUAAAACUUUGGACGAGGAUCCAUUGGAGGGCAAGUCUGGUGCCAGCAGCCGCGGUAAUUCCAGCUCCAAUAGCGUAUAUUAAAGUUGCUGCGGUUAAAAAGCUCGUAGUUGGAUCUCCUAGAUCCAUUUUAGUGAUCGAGUCGCUCGUUGAGCUAGCGUCCUUCGUCUAGUCGCCGGACUUGUGGAGUCGGGAUUCCCCUCUCGCGUCGAUCCGUUUCUCCGCUUCGGUGGAGCGAGCGGCGGCGAGGGUUGGGGGCCUCUCCUAUUUCGGUGGACGGUCGGUCGUUGUCUUCGAGUAUCGCUCUUUCGCUUGUGGUACAAUUAAAAAUUUGUCGGCUCGCUCGGAGUGCUCUUUACCGAGUGUUCCAGGGUGGCCGACACGUUCACUUUGAAAAAAUUAGAGUGCUUAAAGCGGGCGCAUACGCUGCCUGAAUGUCUGUGCAUGGAAUGAAGUAACAGGACCUCGAUUCUGUUGUUUUUGUCGGUUUUAUUGAACCGAGGUAAUGAUUAAAAGGGACAGACGGUGGCAUUAGUAUUGCGGCGCUAGAGGUGAAAUUCUUGGACCGCUGCAAGACUAACUACUGCGAAAGCAUUUGCCGAGAAUGUUUUCAUUAAUCAAGAACGAAAGUUAGAGGAUCGAAGGCGAUCAGAUACCGCCCUAGUUCUAACCCUAAACUAUGCUAACUAGCGAUCCGCCGGAGUCAUUCCCACGACCCGGCGGGAAGCCCCAGGGAAACCAAAGUUUUUGAGUUCCGGGGGAAGUAUGGUUGCAAAGCUGAAACUUAAAGGAAUUGACGGAAGGGCACCACCAGGAGUGGAGCCUGCGGCUUAAUUUGACUCAACACGGGAAACCUCACCAGGCCCGGACAUCAUAAGGAUUGACAGGUUGAGAGCUCUUUCUCGAUUUGAUGGGUGGUGGUGCAUGGCCGUUCUUAGUUGGUGGAGUGAUCUGUCUGGUUGAUUCCGAUAACGAACGAGACUCUACCCUACUAACUAGUCGGCGGAUCGUAACCCUGAGAUGGUUAGUUUGUAUAGGUUGGUUUGUCCGAGUCGCGAGCGGUAGCUUUUGUUGCGUUAGUGUUAAGGGUUCUUCAGACGUGCUUUCGCGGUGCGCCUGGCCUCUUUCUCUAUCGUGUCGGGUUAUUUAGCGAGCGGCGAAGCUUCCUUCUGAUUACUGCUACUGCUGGGGGCGUCCGUCGCAAUGCAUCUUCUUAGAGGGAUCAGCGGCGUAUAGCCGCACGAGAAAGAGCAAUAACAGGUCUGUGAUGCCCUUAGAUGUUCUGGGCCGCACGCGCGCUACAAUGUAGAGAUCAGCGUGCUUUCCCCUUCCGAAAGGAACGGGUAACCCGUUGAAACCCCUACCCGAUUGGGAUUGGGGAUUGCAAAUAUUUCCCAUAAACGAGGAAUUCCCAGUAAGCGCGAGUCAUUAACUCGCGCUGAUUACGUCCCUGCCCUUUGUACACACCGCCCGUCGCUACUACCGAUUGAAUGAUUCAGUGAGGGCAUCGGACUGGCGCCUUCGGUUUAGUAACAUAGACCUUAGGCUGA
rnacentral:rRNA from 1 species